AUGAAAAGAUACGAGGGAAGCGCGUGCAGCACCGCAAAAGCAGGUCGGAGAUUGAGAAGGGGCAGUCAAGUGAUCAAAGGAAGGCCUGUUAUGCUAAAAGGAAAAACACCCCGUGCAAAGAAUCUCUCGCACUCCCGCGUCCAGACAUUACUAACUCAACAACUGAUAGUCUCGCAAUCCCCCUCUCUCGGGCUGCCGACGAUGAUUCAUUGGAUGGCGACCCUCCCACGGUCAUGCCGAAUUACGGUGUUUGCACAAUGA
rnacentral:rRNA from 1 species